GACGAACGCUGGCGGCGUGCUUAACACAUGCAAGUCGAACGGAAAGGCCCUGCUUUUGUGGGGUGCUCGAGUGGCGAAGGGGUGAGUAACACGUGAGUAACCUGCCCUUGACUUUGGGAUAACUUCAGGAAACUGGGGCUAAUACCGGAUAGGAGCUCCUGCUGCAUGGUGGGGGUUGGAAAGUUUCGGCGGUUGGGGAUGGACUCGCGGCUUAUCAGCUUGUUGGUGGGGUAGUGGCUUACCCAGGCUUUGACGGGUAGCCGGCCUGAGAGGGUGACCGGCCACAUUGGGACUGGGAUACGGCCCAGACUCCUACGGGAGGCAGCAGUGGGGAAUAUUGCACAAUGGGCGGAAGCCUGAUGCAGCAACGCCGCGUGCGGGAUGACGGCCUUCGGGUUGUAAACCGCUUUCGCCUGUGACGAAGCGUGAGUGACGGUAAUGGGUAAAGAAGCACCGGCUAACUACGUG
rnacentral:rRNA from 1 species